rnacentral:rRNA from 1 species
AAACGAUGGGUGCUAGUUGUCAGGCAGCAUGCUGUUUGGUGACGCAGCUAACGCGUUAAGCACCCCGCCUGGGGACUACGGUCGCAAGACUAAAACUCAAAGGAAUUGACGGGGGCCCGCACAAGCGGUGGAGCAUGUGGUUUAAUUCGAGGCAACGCGAAGAACCUUACCGGCCCUUGACAUACCAAUCGCGGAUAGCAGAGAUGCUUUCCUUCAGUUCGGCUGGAUUGGAUACAGGUGCUGCAUGGUUGUCGUCAGCUCGUGUCGUGAGAUGUUGGGUUAAGUCCCGCAACGAGCGCAACCCUCGCUUUUAGUUGCCAGCAUUAAGUUGGGCACUCUAGAGGGACUGCCGGUGAUAAGCCGGAGGAAGGUGGGGAUGACGUCAAAUCAUCAUGGCCCUUACGGGCCGGGCUACACACGUGCUACAAUGGCGGUGACAGUGAGCAGCCACUCAGCGAUGAGGAGCUAAUCUCUAAAAGCCGUCUCAGUUCGGAUUGUUCUCUGCAACUCGAGAGCAUGAAGUUGGAAUCGCUAGUAAUCGUGGAUCAGCAUGCCACGGUGAAUACGUUCCCGGGCCUUGUACACACCGCCCGUCACACCAUGGGAGUUGGUUUUACCCGAAGACUGUGUGCUAACUUAGGAGGCAGCAGGCCACGGUAAGGUCAGCGACUGGGGUGAAGUCGUAACAAGGUAGCCGUA